AAAAAGGGGGUGAAAAGCCCCCUCGCCGUAAGCCCAAGGUUUCCUACGCAACGUUCAUCGGCGUAGGGUGAGUCGGCCCCUAAGGCGAGGCAGAAAUGCGUAGCUGAUGGGAAGCAGGUUAAUAUUCCUGCACCAUUGUUAGAUGCGAUGGGGGGACGGAUCGCGGAAGGUUGUCCGGGUGUUGGAAGUCCCGGUCCUUGCAUUGGAGAAGGCGCUUAGGCAAAUCCGGGCGCGGAAUUCAAGGGUGUGAGGCGAGCGGCUUAGGCCGCGAAGCAAUCGGAAGUGGUUCCAAGAAAAGCCUCUAAGCUUCAGUCUAACAAGACCGUACCGCAAACCGACACAGGUGGGCGAGAUGAGUAUUCUAAGGCGCUUGAGAGAACUCGGGAGAAGGAACUCGGCAAAUUGGUACCGUAACUUCGGGAUAAGGUACGCCCUUGUAGCUUGACUGGCCUGCGCCAGGAGGGUGAGAGGGUUGCAAUAAACUGGUGGCUGCGACUGUUUAAUAAAAACACAGCACUCUGCAAACACGAAAGUGGACGUAUAGGGUGUGACGCCUGCCCGGUGCCGGAAGAUUAAAUGAUGGGGUGCAAGCUCUUGAUUGAAGUCCCGGUAAACGGCGGCCGUAACAAUAACGGUCCUAAGGUAGCGAAAUUCCUUGUCGGGUAAGUUCCGACCUGCACGAAUGGCGUAACGAUGGCCACACUGUCUCCUCCCGAGACUCAGCGAAGUUGAAGUGUUUGUGAUGAUGCAAUCUCCCCGCGGCUAGACGGAAAGACCCCAUGAACCUUUACUGUAGCUUUGCAUUGGACUUUGAACCGAUCUGUGUAGGAUAGGUGGGAGGCUAUGAAACCGGAACGCUAGUUUCGGUGGAGCCGUCCUUGAAAUACCACCCUGGUUUGUUUGAGGUUCUAACCUUGGUCCGUUAUCCGGACUGGGGACAGUGCAUGGUAGGCAGUUUGACUGGGGCGGUCUCCUCCCAAAGUGUAACGGAGGAGUACGAAGGUACGCUAGGUACGGUCGGAAAUCGUGCUGAUAGUGCAAUGGCAUAAGCGUGCUUAACUGCGAGACCGACAAGUCGAGCAGGUGCGAAAGCAGGUCAUAGUGAUCCGGUGGUUCUGUAUGGAAGGGCCAUCGCUCAACGGAUAAAAGGUACUCUGGGGAUAACAGGCUGAUACCGCCCAAGAGUUCAUAUCGACGGCGGUGUUUGGCACCUCGAUGUCGGCUCAUCUCAUCCUGGGGCUGUAGCCGGUCCCAAGGGUAUGGCUGUUCGCCAUUUAAAGAGGUACGUGAGCUGGGUUUAAAACGUCGUGAGACAGUUUGGUCCCUAUCUGCCGUGGGCGUUGGAUAUUUGAAGGGGGCUGCUCCUAGUACGAGAGGACCGGAGUGGACGAACCUCUGGUGUACCGGUUGUCACGCCAGUGGCAUCGCCGGGUAGCUAUGUUCGGAAGAGAUAACCGCUGAAAGCAUCUAAGCGGGAAACUCGCCUUAAGAUGAGAUAUCCCCGGGGACUUGAUCCCCUUGAAGGGUCGUUCUAGACCAGGACGUUGAUAGGUCAGGUGUGGAAGUGAU
rnacentral:rRNA from 1 species